AGAUAGAGCCAGGGUGGAGAUGCUCAUAACUUCUUCUGGGAUUUGCCCACUCAAGAGGUUACUGGAAAGGUCCAGGGAGAUUAACUCAGUAAGGUUGCCAAAAGUAGCUGGAAUGCUACCCUCCAAAUUGUUGGUUGAAAGAGAUAGCAGAUUUAGUUGUGAUAGGUUGCCUAUUGACGAAGGAAUCUCCCCAUAGUAUCUAUUCUGAAAUAGAGAUAGUUCUUUGAGGUUGGAUAGCUUUCCAAUAUCUGAAGGUAUAUGCCCAGCAAUUUGGUUUCCUCCAGCUCGAAGUCCUUCAAGUUUUUGCGAGAGAUUACCAAUGCUAUUUGGCAAAAUCCCUGAAAGGUUAUUCAGUUGAAGAUUUACAAGAGAUAGGCUGCUGCAGUUAGCCAAGGAGGUCAGAAAAUCCCAAUCUCUUGACUCUGUAGCCUGCAGCUCAUUAUUUCCUACUUCAAAUACAGUCAAACGUCCACUUUGGCCAAUAUUUGAUGGGAUUCGGCCACGAAAUCUAUUCCCAUGGAGAGAGAGAUGUUCAAGAGAAGAUAUGUUUGACAAGGAGGCAGGAAUCUGGCCUUCAAAUUUGUUGUAGAAUACACUGAACUUUUUCAGGUUAUUGAUUGCUACAGUCAGGACUCGAAGGUUGAUGAGCUUAGACAAAGCUGGUGGAACAUGUCCGCUCAUAAUAUUCCCACCCAUGUUCAAAUCAUUCAGUGCUGUCAAAU